rnacentral:rRNA from 1 species
AGCGUACACGGUGGAUGCCCUGGCAGUCAGAGGCGAUGAAGGACGUGCUAAUCUGCGAAAAGCGCCGGCGAGGUGAUAUGAACCUUUGACCCGGCGAUGUCCGAAUGGGGAAACCCAGUGCAAUCCGUUGCACUAUCGUUAACUGAAUACAUAGGUUAACGAGGCGAACCGGGGGAACUGAAACAUCUAAGUACCCCGAGGAAAAGAAAUCAACCGAGAUUCCCCCAGUAGCGGCGAGCGAACGGGGAGCAGCCCGGAGUCUGAAUCAGCUUGUGUGUUAGUGGAACGGUCUGGAAAGUCCGACGGUACAGGGUGAUAGUCCCGUACACGAAAGCACACUUGCUGUGAACUCGAAGAGUAGGGCGGGACACGUGGUAUCCUGUCUGAAUAUGGGGGGACCAUCCUCCAAGGCUAAAUACUCCUGACUGACCGAUAGUGAACCAGUACCGUGAGGGAAAGGCGAAAAGAACCCCGGCGAGGGGAGUGAAAAAGAACCUGAAACCGUGUACGUACAAGCAGUGGGAGCCUCUUUAUGGGGUGACUGCGUACCUUUUGUAUAAUGGGUCAGCGACUUAUAUUCUGUAGCAAGGUUAACCGUAUAGGGGAGCCGAAGGGAAACCGAGUCUUAACUGGGCGUUAAGUUGCAGGGUAUAGACCCGAAACCCGGUGAUCUAGCCAUGGGCAGGUUGAAGGUUGGGUAACACUAACUGGAGGACCGAACCGACUAAUGUUGAAAAAUUAGCGGAUGACCUGUGGCUGGGGGUGAAAGGCCAAUCAAACCGGGAGAUAGCUGGUUCUCCCCGAAAGCUAUUUAGGUAGCGCCUCGUGAACUCAUCUUCGGGGGUAGAGCACUGUUUCGGCUAGGGGGCCAUCCCGGCUUACCAACCCGAUGCAAACUACGAAUACCGAAGAAUGUUAUCACGGGAGACACACGGCGGGUGCUAACGUCCGUCGUGAAGAGGGAAACAACCCAGACCGCCAGCUAAGGUCCCAAAGUCAUGGUUAAGUGGGAAACGAUGUGGGAAGGCACAGACAGCCAGGAUGUUGGCUUAGAAGCAGCCAUCAUUUAAAGAAAGCGUAAUAGCUCACUGGUCGAGUCGGCCUGCGCGGAAGAUGUAACGGGGCUAAACCAUGCACCGAAGCUGCGGCAGCGACNNNNNNGAAGGUGUCCUGUGAGGGGUGCUGGAGGUAUCAGAAGUGCGAAUGCUGACAUAAGUAACGAUAAAGCGGGUGAAAAGCCCGCUCGCCGGAAGACCAAGGGUUCCUGUCCAACGUUAAUCGGGGCAGGGUGAGUCGACCCCUAAGGCGAGGCCGAAAGGCGUAGUCGAUGGGAAACAGGUUAAUAUUCCUGUACUUGGUGUUACUGCGAAGGGGGGACGGAGAAGGCUAUGUCAGCCGGGCGACGGUUGUCCCGGUUUAAGCAUGUAGGCGGAGGUUCCAGGUAAAUCCGGUACCUUGUUAACGCUGAGGUGUGAUGACGAGGCACUACGGUGCUGAAGUGAUAAAUGCCCUGCUUCCAGGAAAAGCCUCUAAGCAUCAGGUAACACGAAAUCGUACCCCAAACCGACACAGGUGGUCAGGUAGAGAAUACCAAGGCGCUUGAGAGAACUCGGGUGAAGGAACUAGGCAAAAUGGUGCCGUAACUUCGGGAGAAGGCACGCUGAUAUGUAGGUGAAGUCCCUGCGGACGGAGCUGAAAUCAGUCGAAGAUACCAGCUGGCUGCAACUGUUUAUUAAAAACACAGCACUGUGCAAACACGAAAGUGGACGUAUACGGUGUGACGCCUGCCCGGUGCCGGAAGGUUAAUUGAUGGGGUUAGCGGCAACGCGAAGCUCUUGAUCGAAGCCCCGGUAAACGGCGGCCGUAACUAUAACGGUCCUAAGGUAGCGAAAUUCCUUGUCGGGUAAGUUCCGACCUGCACGAAUGGCGUAAUGAUGGCCAGGCUGUCUCCACCCGAGACUCAGUGAAAUUGAACUCGCUGUGAAGAUGCAGUGUACCCGCGGCAAGACGGAAAGACCCCGUGAACCUUUACUAUAGCUUGACACUGAACACUGGUCCUUGAUGUGUAGGAUAGGUGGGAGGCUUUGAAGCGUGGACGCCAGUCUGCGUGGAGCCAACCUUGAAAUACCACCCUUUAAUGGCUGGUGUUCUAACGUAGACCCGUAAUCCGGGUUGCGGACAGUGUCUGGUGGGUAGUUUGACUGGGGCGGUCUCCUCCCAAAGAGUAACGGAGGAGCACGAAGGUUGGCUAAUCCUGGUCGGACAUCAGGAGGUUAGUGCAAUGGCAUAAGCCAGCUUGACUGCGAGCGUGACGGCGCGAGCAGGUGCGAAAGCAGGUCAUAGUGAUCCGGUGGUUCUGAAUGGAAGGGCCAUCGCUCAACGGAUAAAAGGUACUCCGGGGAUAACAGGCUGAUACCGCCCAAGAGUUCAUAUCGACGGCGGUGUUUGGCACCUCGAUGUCGGCUCAUCACAUCCUGGGGCUGAAGUAGGUCCCAAGGGUAUGGCUGUUCGCCAUUUAAAGUGGUACGCGAGCUGGGUUUAGAACGUCGUGAGACAGUUCGGUCCCUAUCUGCCGUGGGCGCUGGAGAAUUGAGGGGGGCUGCUCCUAGUACGAGAGGACCGGAGUGGACGCAUCACUGGUGUUCGGGUUGUCAUGCCAAUGGCACUGCCCGGUAGCUAAAUGCGGAAAAGAUAAGUGCUGAAAGCAUCUAAGCACGAAACUUGCCCCGAGAUGAGUUCU